CUGGUGCCUCCCCAUAUGGUCAAUGUCAAGCCCGUUGUGUCCCUUGGUCGCACAGUGGUGCCUCCCCUCCUUGAGCUUGGUACAUCUGUCCUCCUGAAUCUUCUUAGAGGAACGGUCGAGGGCCUUGGGGGUCUGAAAGGUCUGAGAGGGCCCUGGAGGAAAUGGUGCUAUGUGACCGAGCUGCUGGUGGAAGGUGGGAGCAGAGAGUGAACGUAAGAAGACUAACAGGCUGGUGCGGUGCUUAAAAUACAAGGCCCUUCUCUUUUGCUUGGAAUACUGCAUGGAUCAUUUCUCCCAGAGAAGAUGACUCCCUGAAGCAAUUUUCAGCUACAUUAAGGCCCUGUUUUAUUCAUUAUGUAAUUCCAGGGUCUUCUAUAGUCUUGUAAUAAUAGAAAUCUAAUAAACGUUGAGCUGAAAAGAAACUUAAUUUGAAGGUAGAAUUCAUCUUCACCUGUGCCAAAAGCUUUAUGUGGUGAUCUAUAAUAAUUUCUCAAAGGUAUUAAAUACUGUCCGAAUGACUUUUUCCUUAGUAAAAUUCAUCUCAGUUUCUUGGUAGGAGCAGUUCUCUGGAUGACAGGUGCAGGGGUUGGAAAGAUUUUUCUAUAAAGGACCAGAUAAUAUUUUCUACUUUGUAGUCACACAUGGUCUCUGAUCACACAUUCUUUUUUUGUUCUUGUUUGUUUUUGUUUUGUUUUAAACAACACUUUGAGAAUCUAAAAACCUUCCUUAGCUCCCCUUAUGCCAGCAGGACUUGGCUCACGGUCUAUAGUUUUCUAACCCCUGGACCCCCUUCCUGGACUCUGUAAUCCUGAGCACAGUCUCAAGGUGAAGCUAAGAUUGAUGUGAAGAUGCUUAUUAUGAAUUACAGUAUAAAUGAAUUUAAUCAGAUUAGUCAAUACAACAUUUUAAGCACAGAAAAGCAGAGGUCUAUCCUACAGUAGAGCUCCAGAAAUCAAGGCUAGGAGCAAUCUAUCAUUCAGAAUUGCUUUUAGUUGCCAAUGACAGAAAACUAGACAGACUGCUCUAAAAAAAAAGUGAUUUUUUCCUCAACUGACAAGCCAUCCAGACAAAAGCUAUCAUUGGCAUUGGUUCUACUGUUCAAAAAUAUCAUCAAGAACCCAGGUGCUUCCCACUCCUCCCACUCCACCAGCCUUUGUACGUUAACUUUUUGUCCUCAUUCUUGACGUCUCCUCAUUACAAGAUGGCUGCUGCAGCUGCUCCAGAUACCUUGUCCCCAUACUAGUGUCUGUAGCUGGAAAAAAGGAGAAGAGUCUCUGCCUUCUCAUCCAGGAAAUGAAGUUCCCAAUGGACUCCUUCUUGUUUCUUUGAUCAUACAUGGACUGCAUACUAUAGGAGGCAGAAUAAUGGACCCCCGAAGAUAUCCACACUCUAACCUUUGGAAAUUGUGAAUAUGCAGGAAUAAUGAAGUUUGCAGACCUCAAAAUAAAAUAUCUAGGGGCCCCAUAUAACCAUGCAAUUCCUUAAGAAUAAAAUACCCAGCCCUCUAGUUCCCUUUCCCGUCAGAUCUUAACACUGGUCUUGGUGGUUGUUAAAGGAGGAAAAGGAGGGGCGCCUGGGUGGCUCAGUGGGUUAAAGCCUCUGUCUUCGGCUCAGGUCAUGAUACCAGGGUCCUGGGAUUGAGCCCCGCAUUGGGCUCUCUGCUCAGCAGGGAGCCUGCUUCCUCGAGGCUCUUUCUCUGCCUGCCUCUCUGCCUACUUAUGAUCUCUGCCUGUCAAAUAAAUAAAUAAAAUCUUAAAAAAAAAAAAAAAAAAAAAAAGGAGGAAAGGGAACAAUGAAGCUGGCCUCCCAGUAUCUAUAGUCUGCUAUACAGCUUGUGGGCUGCUUCAAACAAGGUCUGAAUACAAAACCAGCAAACAAAAAACCAGAACAUUUACUCUGGCCAGAGCAAGAGAGAUUGAGCAGAAGAAAUAAAAAAAACUGGAAGUGUAAAGGAUUCAACAUACUGUUGCUGGCUCAGAGAGGUAAGAGACUGGGUGCAGGGUCUGGAGAGAGGCUUCUAGAAGCUAGCAGCAUCCCCCAGCUGACAGCCAGGCCAGCAAGGAAGUGGGGACCUCAGUCCUACAACCACAAGGAACUGGAUUCUGCCCACAAUCUAUAUUAUCUUCAAAGCAGAUCCUUCCCACAGGGCCCAGCCAGCUGACAGCCGUUCUGUCCUUACAAAAGUCAGAGCAAAAAAACCAAGCACACCAACGGAAACUCAGCGCCGUGAAAUAAUAACUGCGCUAAUUUGUUACAUCAGCAAUAGAAAACUACUACACAUGCUUACCCCUGACCAAUCACUAACUAAAGGGAUUGGGAUUGCCAAGGCUGCUUUCAGCUAGUCAUGCUUAAUUCCAUGGGGCUGAGAUGAGGCCCGUCCUCCCUGUGAUCAAGAGACCUUGGAAGAGUACACUCUACCUGGAGGAAAGUAAAAUGAGUGUUCUAUCAGCAAGAAGAACACGAAAACAUUUGUUGGGUAGACAAGUAACAGCAUAUUCCAUAAGAGGCUUAAACACUUCAUGCAGCUGGAUUUAUCCCAAAACCCAAGAGAAAGGGACACUGGAAGGACGGGCGCUGUCAUAAACUAAUAAAGCACUGAAAGUUAGAAUUUCAAUAGCAUCACAUUUCUACUUCAAGAUUCCCAAUCAGAGGGGACGCCUGGGUGGCUUAGUUGGUUGAGCAGCUGCCUUCGUUCGGCUCGGGUCAUGAUCCCGGGUCCCUGGGAUGGAGUCCCACAUCGGGCUCCUUUCUCAGCGGGGAGCCUGCCUCUCUCUCUCUUCCUCUGCCUGCCUCUCUGCCUGCUUGUGAUCUCUGCCUGUCAAAUAAAAAAUUAAAAAAAAAUUUAAAAAGCUAACCAGGGAAUUUAAAGUUAAAAAAAAAAAAAUCCCCAAUCAGAAAAUAUCAAAGAUGUUCCCAAUAGUCCCUGAGACUUAUUAUAUAUUUACAAUGGUUCCAAAUUGUGAAAUCAUUUCACUGCAGUUUCAGACUUAAUUCCUAAUCUUAGAAGGUUUCUAAUUUCCCUUCCUCCUGACCCAGAUCAUUUGUUUUUGGCUACCUUCUGGCUUUUUCCCCACUUGUCCUCAGUGGCAAGUGUACUACUUUUGCUUUUUUUUUUUUUUUUCCUAUUUAUGGUUUAAAAGAAAAAAAAAAAAAAAAACAACUUUCAUUUCUCAGUCUUUCCCCUUAUUCUUCUGCUACUUAUUUUAUCCC